ACCAGCCGGACACACUUAUGCCUACAAGCUCAAUGAGCUAAAAUUCAAAGAAGAGGAGACUGGAACUUCUGUCAUGAUUUGCGCCAGUUCUCAUCAUAAAAAGGAACCGUUUACCCGCCAUGCCCUUUCAGCUGAGCCAGUCCUGCACCCACAAU